GACGAACGCUGGCGGCGUGCCUAAUACAUGCAAGUCGAACGCUUCUUUCCUCCCGAGUGCUUGCACUCAAUUGGAAAGAGGAGUGGCGGACGGGUGAGUAACACGUGGGUAACCUACCCAUCAGAGGGGGAUAACACUUGGAAACAGGUGCUAACACCGCGUAACAGUUUAUGCCGCAUGGCAUAAGAGUGAAAGGCGCUUUCGGGUGUCGCUGAUGGAUGGACCCGCGGUGCAUUAGCUAGUUGGUGAGGUAACGGCUCACCAAGGCCACGAUGCAUAGCCGACCUGAGAGGGUGAUCGGCCACACUGGGACUGAGACACGGCCCAGACUCCUACGGGAGGCAGCAGUAGGGAAUCUUCGGCAAUGGACGAAAGUCUGACCGAGCAACGCCGCGUGAGUGAAGAAGGUUUUCGGAUCGUAAAACUCUGUUGUUAGAGAAGAACAAGGACGUUAGUAACUGAACGUCCCCUGACGGUAUCUAACCAGAAAGCCACGGCUAACUACGUG
rnacentral:rRNA from 1 species